UUACAUAUCUUUCGAAAAGGUUCUCUUUCCUAGAGAUGAAAAUGGAAAUCGGUUAAAAUCCGAUGCGGUCCCGCCACUGUAAGUGCACUGUGCACAAGCCAGGUCACCUGCCUUUAAGAAAAGAAGUUC
rnacentral:ncRNA from 2 species